GAAUAUUGGACAAUGGGCGAAAGCCUGAUCCAGCCAUGCCGCGUGUGUGAAGAAGGUCUUCGGAUUGUAAAGCACUUUAAGCUGGGAGGAAGGGCAGUAAGUUAAUACCUUGCUGUUUUGACGUUACCAGCAGAAUAAGCACCGGCUAACUUCGUGCCAGCAGCCGCGGUAAUACGAAGGGUGCAAGCGUUAAGCGGAAUUACUGGGCGUAAAGCGCGCGUAGGUGGUUUGUUAAGUUGAAUGUGAAAGCCCCGGGCUCAACCUGGGAACUGCAUCCAAAACUGGCAAGCUAGAGUAUGGCAGAGGGUGGUGGAAUUUCCUGUAUAGCGGUGAAAUGCGUAGAUAUAGGAAGGAACACCAGUGGCGAAGGCGACCACCUGGGCUAAUACUGACACUGAGGUGCGAAAGCGUGGGGAGCAAACAGG
rnacentral:rRNA from 1 species